AGUGGGAACACAUUCGAACUUGAUUACGUAGUUCAGAGAUCGAGCUAGAGCCCUCUUCUCUAGUUAAGGAACAGACUUCCUGGAAGCGGUUAAGCCGUAGAUAAGAACAUCGUUUCCGUAAAGCAUAGCGAUCUCUGUGAUGUCUCGUAUUCUCUGCACGACCCCAGAAAAAUUAAUGAAGGUUAUAA
rnacentral:ncRNA from 1 species